rnacentral:ncRNA from 1 species
UGAUUGUCAGGGCAAACCAUGCGAAAGCAUGGGACGCAAAGCUACGGGUCUAAAGGGCGCCAGUUCAUGUUGCUGCCUCAUGAUCGCCGGGCUGCAGGC